GACGAACGCUGGCGGCGUGCUUAACACAUGCAAGUCGAACGGUAAGGCCCUUCGGGGUACGCGAGUGGCGAACGGGUGAGUAACACGUGGGUGAUCUGCCCUGCACUUCGGGAUAAGCCUGGGAAACUGGGUCUAAUACCGGAUAGGACCACUGCCUGCAUGGGUGGUGGUGGAAAGCUUUUGCGGUGUGGGAUGGGCCCGCGGCCUAUCAGCUUGUUGGUGGGGUGAUGGCCUACCAAGGCGACGACGGGUAGCCGGCCUGAGAGGGUGACCGGCCACACUGGGACUGGGAAACGGCCCAGACUCCUACGGGAGGCAGCAGUGGGGAAUAUUGCACAAUGGGCGCAAGCCUGAUGCAGCGACGCCGCGUGAGGGAUGACGGCCUUCGGGUUGUAAACCUCUUUCAGCACCGACGAAGCGCAAGUGACGGUAGGUGCAGAAGAAGGACCGGCCAACUACGUGCCAGCAGCCGCGGUAA
rnacentral:rRNA from 1 species